ensembl:lncRNA
UUAUGUCAGUGAAGGGCAACCUGUGCCAGGAUUGUUACACAGCUCACCCUGAGGAUGUCUAUGGGGUGAGGCAGUUACACACACACACACACACACACACACACUUUGCUCAACUCCAAAUUAGGUCAGUAUGACAUACACAGAGCACACGCCAUCAGGUUGAAUAUAUUUUGACCUUUAAGUCGUUAUGGCUGCACAGAAAACAGAAAUGAUGGCAAAACUGUAUUCAGAAUGCAUCGUUCUCUUAAAUAGGUUGAGUUAGACUGCGAUUUAAGCAGGUGACGUAACAUUCUGCAGUACAUAGAUGCUCACGCUAUCUAAACCCAAACAUCUUACUCUGUCCUUGCUGAUGCGAUUGCUCUCCCACAGGAAAACCACCCACAGCUGCGCACACAGGCAAAACACGUAUACAGGCCUAGAAACGACUGAUUACAUACUGUAGUAUUUAUAUAUGCACAAUGAUAACAAAAAUGCAAGAUUAUGGUUUUUAAAAUUUUAACUGGCCUGUUUUCUUUUUUCUUCUUCUUCUUCUUUUUAACCAGAGUCAGCACUUUAACAUGGUACCCUCAAUACCUUGUGUUUGAUCUUCUGCUCCAGCUAGAGACAAUGAUCCUUGCAAACCUGCAUGUUUUCCCUUCUCAAACACAAAAGAACAUUUUCAUCGAUAUAGACAACCUUACCUGACGUAAGUUUGAGCUUUAUGUCAGAAGAAUAUUACUUUCAAAAAUCAUAUAAUAUCAUAUAAAUCAUAUAAUACAAAUUUAUUUGUAUAGCGCUUUUCACAAUUUACAUCAUUCCAAAGCAGCUUUACAGAAAAUGCUAAAUGGAUUUUUUUUUUUUUUUUAUCUAAAUGGAUUUAGAUAUCCUAAGUACUAAUUAAAGUCUCAUAACCUUAAAGAGUGUGAUGGAUUGUAGGGCAUAAGAAGAUAAGUUAAAUAUACAGGAGCAAACCAUUUAGGGCCUUAUAGGUUAGUAGCAAUAUUUUGAUAUCAAUACGGAACUUAAUGGGUAACCAGUGCAGAGAUGAUACAAUUGGGAUAAUAUGAUCAUAUUUUUUGACCUGGUAAGAACUCCAGCAGCUGCAUUUUGGACUAACUGUAGCUUGUUUAUUGAGUAUGCAGUACAACUAAUGCAUUACAGUAAUCCAGUCGAGAGGUAAUAAAUGCGUGAACUAGCUUUUCUCCAUAAGAAAUAGAAAACAUAUUCCAUAGCUUAGCAAUGUUUCUGAGGUGGAAGAAGGCCAUUUUUGUAACAUGAAAUAUAAUUUUUGAAAGGUAAGUUGUUCUCUAAUAUAACCCCCAGGUUAUAUUUUAACUGCAGAGGAUGAUGUAACAGUACAUCCUUUUAGUUGCAAAAUGUAUUCUAAGAGAUUCUGUAUGCAGGUUUUUGGUCCAAUAAGUAAUGCCUCAGUCUUUCCAGUUUUCAUCUGGUCAUGAUGAAAUAUAUAACUGAAUGAAAUAUAUAUGAGUACCAACGGCAUAGCAGUGGAAACCAAUUCCAUGUUUUCUAAAAUUGUUGCCAAGUGGCAGCAUGUAUAUUGAAAAUAACAGAGGGCCUAACACAGAUCCUUGCGGCACCCCAUAACUUACUGAUAUUAACAUGGAUUUUUCACCAUUUAUGUAGACAAAAUGGUAAUGAUCUGCUAGGUACACUCUAAACCACCAUAAUGCAAUGCAUAAUGCAUAAUGCAAAUAAAGAAAGAUAACUAACUAUAUACUAGCAUCCAGACCAAUUCACAAGCUGCAGUUGUGUCAUCUGCCUCUUUAAAUGCUCACGCUCUUAAAAGUUGGGUGGAUUCUGACUGGCUGUUAAUGUUUUUUGUAAGUAAUGUUGGGCAUUUAUAAUUAACUUUAAGCAGGUUCAUGUCUAAUAUUUUCACAAACUAGA